CUGCCUAGGUGGGCCGGGCGGUGCGAGGGUCGCCUUUCAGCCUUUACCUCUACCCACUGAAAUGGAGUAGGUCGGUGAGCGCCGAUCUGCUGGAGAAUCUCAUUAUCCCAUCGGCGCUCUGCCUGCUCCUGGCCUCCAAGCCUCUGAAGCCCCUCGGGUUUCAGCUGCCGGCUACCCUCGAGCCCGUGGUGCCCACGAGAGAGGCGACUUUACGUCAGCGGCCCUGGGCUGAGAUUUGAGAACGCGACCAAGUGGAGAAUGUUGGAGCCAGAUUUUAAAAUCCUUGUCUUCCUUCUGCGUGCUACUUGAUCUAAAUGAGAUACGGCAAAGUCACAGAACCUGUUUUUAUGUUUUUGCCUGAUUCAUACGGGCUUCUCCGGUGAAGAUGGGCCUGAAGUAACGCUUGGGUUGCUUCUGACGUUAUAACUCAUCCUGUAGCUGCAGCAACCGUGGUCCUUGCAACCUCAUAAAAAUGUUGCCAGCAUUGUUUCGAUAGUGCUGCUUAAUUCUUGGAAGGCCUCUUUGCUUUCUUCCCUGAGGUUCUUCGGACUUCACACAUUCCAGCAGUAGCUCUCUCAGCUCCUGUCCUGCACAGCUUUGAAGUGCUGGCUGGAGUGCAGUGGUGCCAUCUCGGCUCACUGCAGCCUCAACCUCCUGGGCUCAAGCGAUCCUCCUGCCACACCCUCCUGAGUAGCUGGGAUUACAGGUGAUGUCAUUGAACUCUUAAGUGCAAGAUGAAACAAGUCUUUCUGGGGUUCUAAGUAGCGUCUUCAAAGUGUCUUCUGUAAAGACUUCUUCAGACUGUCAAUAGGAAGACUGAUAAACUCAGACAGAGCCUCCCUCUGGAGCGAAGUGGCAUAAUCUCGGCUCACUGCAACCUCUGCCUCCCAGGUUCAAGCGAUUCUCAUGUCUCGGCCUCUUGAGUAACUGGGAUUACAGGCUGGAGUGCAAUGGCGCGAUCUCGGCUCACUGCAACCUCCGCCUCCCGAGUUCAAGUGAUUCUCCUGCCUCAGCCUCCUGAGUAACUGGGAUUACAGGCAUGCACCGCCAUGCCCAGGUGUCUUUGUGAAGCUUCCUAUCUUUGCUUUUCAACUAAGAUGAAACAGCAUUUAAAAGAAAAUGCCAUGUGAGAUGAGAUCAGGAGAAUGGAUUCUUUCUUUCAUCUGAAUAGAGAGCUGCUGUUCGAGAUUCUAACUCAAAUAGCUCAAAGGACACCUUCUCCGGGAAACCUUCCCUGACUUCCGACGCUGUUUCCUGUUGGGCAUCUAUGUAAAUCAUUUGGAGUUUUUGCCUUUCCUCUUAGAAGAAAAAUAUGAAUGAUUUGACUGAACAGGCCUAUAGCCAAACCCAAGAUGAUCUUUCCAAGCGUGAACUCCAUCUUCAAACUUCUAAUCUUAAACCUUAAAGAAGAAACUAUGGCAAUGUCUCUUCCACCACUCUUGACUAGCAUGAUGUGUUGCCAAAAGACUUCAGAUCAUAAGUGCGAAAUAAAAAAUCAAAAAUUGACUGCAUCUUUUCUCAUUGCUCAACAACUGUCAAACAACUGAGAAAUUUGUUUUGGAUGAAGCAGUAACAUUCCUUCUUCCACUCCCAGCCCCAUUCCACGUAGUCUGCAGUUCCUCACUGACCACUGAUUGAUGUCAACGUGCAAACUCUCAGACAGAAGACAAGAAAUAUGUCCUGGGUUUUCUGGUUCCUCAAGCUUCUGACUAGGACCAGAGCCAGCAAUUACACACACUUAUCCCUAUUCUUUCCAUGAAUGCAGAGAAAGAAAGACCUUCUUGGGCUGUAAGAAAUACUCUAUUCCUCACACAUAAUAACUAAGGCUCAGCAGCUUGUAAAAAGGCAUGGUCCAGGGCAUGUCAGGACAAGGAAGAGCGGUAAGUUGUUUCUCUGUCUUUCCUCUGUAUUCUUUCAUAAUUGGGACAAGGCCUCAGCUGACAAGGAGCUGGCAGAACACUGGGGACAGCUGGUAUGUAAGAACCAACACCGUCCCAUCAGUCAUUUAUUCAACACAUGUUUAUUGAGUAUCUGCAACGUGACUGCACCGUUAUAGAGUCUGCAUUGUUGUAGGUCCUGAGAAAAAAACUGCAAAGCAAAAGUACACACAGGCUUGCCCUCCUGAAAUGUACAGUCAGGUGGAGAUGGCAGAUAUUAAGAAACUAACUUGUGCUAUUGAAGUUUAAAAGAAAGGGAUCUUACUGAGUCUGAGGAGAGGGAUGAAUCAAUGCAGACUUCCUAGAAGAACUGGCAUAUAAACCAAGAACUGAAAGAGGAAUAGACAUUAAACCAGAAAACAGAAUGGAAGAAAAAUAGAUUUACGAUGCAAAAACCGUAAAGGAAAGAGUUCAGUAUGACUGGAAUAUAUAGACAGAAGAUAAUGGUUUAUGAUAAGACUGAAAAGGAAUGCAGGGUCUAGAUAAAGAGACUCUUCAAAUUAGUAAGAAUUUUUUUGAGACAAUAAAAGACCAUUUUGCUUUGGCAAAAUAAUAAUAAUAAUAACACUCAGUGUAGUGUGAACUAUAAAUUUAGGAGAGCAAGAGUAAUUGUGGGGAAAUCAGUUAAGAGACUUGCUUUAGCCAAGAAAACAGUUGAUGUUGGAUUAAACCAUGGAGAAGAUAAUGGAGAUAAUGACAAGUGGACAGAUUUUGGAAAUCAAUAUCUUUUGGUAAUUAAUUGAACAUAGGAGAAAGAAGAAAAGAUGGGGUUACAUAGGACUCUGAAAUUUCUGAACAAUCAGCUGGGAAGAUGAUAGCAUUAUUUGUUGUGUAAAGAACAUGAGAAGAGGCUCGGGAUUGGAAGGACACAUGAGGAGCUCUGGUUUUGACACAGUGAGUGUGGUAUAUGGGCUCUCACUUACGUGGGUCUAGAGCUAAGAAGAGAAGUCAUGGGUUGGACGCAAAAGUGUGGGUUUUGGCAGCAUUUAGGUAGUAAAAAUUUGGCAAAUGGUUAAGAGUAUAUUACAGGAAAAGAAAAUAAUUUAGGUCAGAGUCCAGAGGAAAGCAUACAUUUAACACAGAAGAAUAAAACCUGAGAAAUAACUGGUAAACGAGAUUAGGAAGCAGUCAGAGAGGAAGAAAGCCAGGAGGAUACGGUGUGGCAUGGAAGCCAAUGGAGAGAUUGUUUCAAGAAGAAGAAGAUAGUUAACAGUAGGGAAUUAUCA
ensembl:lncRNA HULC hepatocellular carcinoma up-regulated long non-coding RNA